ACUGCCUCACUAAAAACCCUGAUGAGUUUUCCUCCUGUGCAGGAGGCAGAGUCGUUUCUCGCUUCUAAAAGUCGCGUCUUUUCACAGGUCCUGAUGGGAGCGGCGGCAAAAACCUGCAGGAUGCCGCAAAUAAUGAUGAUCCUAUUCCUCCUCAUCCUGCCUCAGUAUCAAGCUAAGAACGUGCAAUUUCAACCAAGCGACCCCAGAAUAGUCAACUUGGCAGAUAAAGUGGAUUUCCACUGCCGUCACAACGGCAGCGAUCUCAAUGUUAUGCUCUGGUACCAACAGACAGACACUGGUGCUUUGGAGCUGAUAGGAUAUAACUUCGUCGGGAGUGAAGCGGUCUAUGAGAAAGCCUUUGAAAGCAGGUUCAAGAUGACAAGAAGAGACAUGCUGACAGGAGCCUUGAACAUCGACAACGCCUCUGCCUCAGACUCCGCCGUGUAUUUCUGCGCCGGCAGUACACAGUGAUGUGGUUUACUGAAACCUCAUGACUAAAAGUCCUACUGGUUUCAAGCUUCAAGUUGGGUUGCCUUUGUCUGAUGAGUACCGAUUUCUAUUGCCAUUACAUAAGAAACACAGUUAAAAUCACACAAGAAUAAGUUUGCUCACGGCAUGAUGCUCAAUCUAUUACUGCUCCUCUUCGUGGUUUGCGCCAGUGACAACAUCCGGUUGUUGAUCAUGUGAUUUGUGAGGCAAAUUUUUACUUUUAUUUUUUGUGAAAUGAACCAAUUUCAAUUCGGCCAAAAAUAAUAAUGAUAAUAAAAAUUAAAAACCUACCUCAUCCCAGCGCCAAAAACUUUUGUCAAAAAAUAUGUUUUCUCCAAACUCCAAAUUGAGCAAACUAAUUUUCUACAUGCUGCACAGAAAAUGACUGAGGGAGGAAUUAUGUUUUCAUAUGAAAACAUAAUUGGCUUGAAUAGUUUAUAAUUCCUUUAGCGAAUCAAAUUGAACGUUCAAAACUGCACUUAUUUACAGAAUUUAUCUUUGGCUGAUGUGAAUGAUUGUCCGAUGGUCUGACAGGAAGCAAAAACAACAGAAAUCUGUGUCACAUUUCAUACAUCAAUAAAUUACAGACCAGUGUGAACUCCAAUUGGAUUAACAACCGGAUUGUUAAUCCAAUCCCUGGACUAGAAAUCCAGGAAUUGUUAAUGGUGACACUGACUGGCGACAUGUGGUCAUGUGACCUUCUUCUUCUCUUCUGAACAGAGCGGCUCUACCUCACUCAGCCCAGCGCUCCUCCUCAGACAACAUGCUGAUCACAGCUUUUUAUCUGUCUCUGCUUUUACACUUAAGUCUCACUGUUGACGUCCUCCAGCCUGCAGACGUCAUUUCUGACCAAGGAGACAACGUGGCGCUUGAGUGCCACAAAACAAGAACGACAUUAGAGAAGACGGACGAGUGUGGAGCGCACCAAAUAGCCGCGAGCUAUUCACAAUGUGAGGAUAAGUAAUACCAAGUGUCGACCCAGAAAUAGCAGCAGGCAGCUUGGAGCGGCUCCAGCGUCAAGUGGGCCCGACCUCCACAGCUGCUCCCACAGAGACUCACAGAUGGAGGCUGAGAUACAGAGAGGCUGGCUGGGGGGAGGGGAGAGACGGAGGAGGCAGGUUUUUGUGUGAUGCUUUUUCACCGUGGGGACAGGGGGCCACGGUGAUACAAUCCCAUAGAGCCGCCGUACAAAAACCUCCUGCCAUUAACAUCCAUCAUGUGGACGGCUGAGUGGAUCUCAGAGAGCAGCAGCGGGAAGCAGGUGGAGGUGGGCAGGGUGGAGGCUCAGCCAGGCCUUAAGAAACACUUUGAUAUGUAGAAAGUGAAGCAGAAACAGCUUUUAUUAGCAGAUGUUUGAGUUUACACAUGGAGCCAUUGGGUCGUGUGAUCCUCAGGGUCAGAAAUCACAACUUCUUUAAACCUGAUGAAGCUCAUCCUGCAGGUUUGACCUUCCUGAUGAUCUGGGCUUUUACAGCCAGUCUGAAGGAGAAGAUUCUGGAAAGUUUGGAGACUUUUUGGUCCAGGAGAGAUUCAGUGUGACACUGGAACUGAAGCUUACUUUGGAAAAGGAACCAAGCUCACAG